UAACGGUCCUAAGGUAGCGAAAUUCCUUGUCGGGUAAGUUCCGACCCGCACGAAAGGCGCAACGAUCUGGGCACUGUCUCAACGAGAGACUCGGUGAAAUUAUAGUACCUGUGAAGAUGCAGGUUACCCGCGACAGGACGGAAAGACCCCGUGGAGCUUUACUGCAACCUGAUAUGGAAUGUUUGUACCGCUUGUACAGGAUAGGUAGGAGCCGAAGAGACGUGUGCGCUAGCAUACGAGGAGGCAAUGGUGGGAUACUACCCUGGCUGUAUGACCAUUCUAACCCGCCACGCUUAGCGCGUGGGGAGACAGUGUCAGGUGGGCAGUUUGACUGGGGCGGUCGCCUCCUAAAGAGUAACGGAGGCGCCCAAAGGUUCCCUCAGAAUGGAUGGAAAUCAUUCGCAGAGUGUAAAGGCACAAGGGAGCUUGACUGCGAGACUGACAAGUCGAGCAGGGACGAAAGUCGGGCUUAGUGAUCCGGUGGUUCCGCAUGGAAGGGCCAUCGCUCAACGGAUAAAAGCUACCCCGGGGAUAACAGGCUUAUCUCCCCCAAGAGUCCACAUCGACGGGGAGGUUUGGCACCUCGAUGUCGGCUCGUCGCAUCCUGGGGCUGUAGUCGGUCCCAAGGGUUGGGCUGUUCGCCCAUUAAAGCGGCACGCGAGCUGGGUUCAGAACGUCGUGAGACAGUUCGGUCCCUAUCCGUCGCGGGCGCAGGAAAUUUGAGAGGAGCUGUCCUUAGUACGAGAGGACCGGGAUGGACACACCGCUGGUGUACCAGUUGUUCCGCCAGGAGCAUCGCUGGGUAGCUAUGUGUGGCAGGGAUAAACGCUGAAAGCAUCUAAGCGUGAAGCCCCCCUCAAGAUGAGAUUUCCCAUUUCUUCGGAAAGUAAGAUCCCUGAAAGAUGAUCAGGUAGAUAGGUUUGGAGUGGAAGUGUAGCGAUACAUGGAGCGGACAAAUACUAAUCGAUCGAGGACUUAACCAAAAA
rnacentral:rRNA from 1 species